UUCGUUUCGCUCAGUGCGCGAUGUGCCUCGGAGAUCUUAGAUUCAUCAACCCGGAAGAGGAGCCGGCUAUACGUACGUCUUACAAGUGUGCAAUCUGCUAUUCUGAGAGGAGAGCGAUAUCAUGACGGAAGUAUCAGCGCGAGAUGAAUUCAGAACCGAUGAUUCACGCUGUACCCAUCGAUAGCUCGAAUUCAUGCUGAUUCUCGAAAAAAAAAAGGGAAGAAGGAAUCCAAUGAUAUUAACGAUGAAUUACGAAAGCGAGAGAGAAAAAAGCUUCUAACUGUUGUUGUGAACCGGACAUAUGUUUCGGCGAAUUUUAUUUGACAUUAAACUGAAAAUUUUAGAGUGGCUUGGCCAAACCUAAAUACAGGCGCUAAGUCUAAAUGCAGAACUGGAAAACAUUGUGGGCGUGCGCGCCGACGCCGACAAAGAGAAUCGUAUUUAUUUAUAACGAUUUUUAUAAAUGAAGUGCUAAACAGCCAUGUGACGAGACCACCUGAAACGGACGGUACAAACGAGAGGGAGAGAAAUCAACAUCAUCAUCUAUCGUAAUAUGUCCUAAAAUAAAUAUCGCGGCGGACUUAUGAAACGCGACGACCGGUUAAACAUAUGUUUCCCUCAAUACGCGUGGACGAAUAAUUGCCACUUGACUGCUUCACUUGCAGAAAAAUUUCAUUUGUUUCGCGUCAGAUUCAAUUUAGGAUCGAGAAUGUCGAGGAAAGUGAUCUUCACGCUAUUAUUGAAACGAGAAAUGUUCGAUCAAUCGUUAUCAUACAGUCGGACCUAUAAUCCCUUCAUGCACGCAAUCAAUGCACGUUGUUUUUUGCAAUAACUUUCACGUUAAUUACGCACACCAAUAACAUGGCGUCCUGCAGAGAUUCUAGCGUGUCGCACGUCACAUAUACUCAGUUGCAUCAAUCUUCUCCGAAGUGUCACACGGUGGCGGAAGCUAAAUGACCCUUCAUACCGUGUCAAAAAUUGCUUCCUAGAGGAAGAACGCCGUGGUAUAACUUUAGAUCAUUAGCAGCAGAAAGCGGCAUUUGUCGAAAUUUAUAGGAUAUUAUCAAAGAGCAGCUCACGUCUUCUCUUUAUCGCUGAACAGAAGAGCUCUGUCGCUGCUCAAGGCACCUUCAACGUCCAACGACGUCAUCAGCGCCGGGAAAUUACCACUACGACAGCUCGUAAGGGGACAGAAUCACGGCGAAACUUUACUGCAACAUCCUGUCGGAGUCUUUGAAAGGCCAGGUUGAAUAUGAUUGCGGCUCGUGAGUACGAGUGGAAAGCCUGGUCGUGGACACAUCGACUCGAAGAACUUACUUCCACAAAGUAAACGGAUUAACGGGAACGUCUGCGGAAACUUCGCAGUUUGAUUAACCCAAUUCCAUAGCUCUGGGUGCGAGCCCACGCGGCCGACCUUUACCUCAUCUCUCCGUGGACGGAUCGGGGCGAGGGAUCCAACUUGCAGAGUCCACCUGCCAUCGGACACCAGCGCGACUGACCAAGCUGACUGUCCGGCCGCACGCCUACACGAAUUGCUACCGCAUUAUUUCGAGUGCUUUGGCCUUGGGUAGUGGCCAGAGAAAACUUAUGCGAGAUAUCAUGGAACGUGCCGAACUACUUCUUCUUCUUUCACAGGAGUGCGAUAAGUACAGGGGAGAACUUCGGCCGAGAUAGUUACCUCUACUAACAGCGCGAAGGUGCCACGUGGUAAAAACGUGCACGGUGAAACUAUGGCGAACGGAAUAACGUCGAAUCGCCGUACUUUCUUGUUUCCUCCUCGAGUGCAAAAUCAAAGGAGAUAUCUCGGCUCGAAAGGUGAACGCAAUUCGUGAUGAUAGCGCGUGAAAGCGCGAGAUCUUUCUCUUCAGGUUCUUACGGCGGACUUGAACUCAGACUUGAAUUUCGAUGCGCGAAUUUACGGGCGACAUUCAUCUGCCAUGUCGUUUCAUCGUGCGUAUAUCGCGGCGCAUCGUCCGCGAGGAAAGUGUCGCUUUCGCUGGACCGGCGAUGAGGAUGCGCGUAGAAUUUGAGCGUGACGCGCGUGGCGUAUGUGAUUAUUCGAGACGGACAAGCCGUGACGAAAGGGAAGAGGCCGACGAAAGGAAGGAGAGAGGAGAAGCAUCGGAGGGAGAAGAAGGAAGAAAUGAUAUAUGACGGAUGGACGUGAGCGGCGAUCGAUGGCUCGCGAUCUCGCAAGGUGGAGCAUAAUUGGAUUUUUCGAGAGAGAAGAGAACGUCUCUUUGGCAAGCGAGCGCAGAGAGCACUUCCUGCUAGGCUAUGAAAAUGAGCUUCAGGUCUGGCCGACUUAGAAUCGCCGAGCUCGCGCGCGAGUCAUAAUAAUAACAACUCCCGCGAAGAUUUCGCUCACGAGCUGAAUCUUAAAUUUAAACAGAAUGGCGACAGGUAUUGCGGCGAAGCGUAAAACGCUUGUCGUUUUUGCAACACGCACCACCGUGCUGUCCCUAGGUUCUGUUUGCCUAAUUUUACAGGACCUCCGUCGGGAAUGACGUCUCACAAGUCGCGCAGGAUGGCCUCCGGAACCGUCGAUCGUUUAUUUUAACGACUUGUUCGAGGCCCUUUUCUUAAAGACCCUGCUGCGGUUUAAAGUUGACAAGAGAUGAGUUGCAGAAAGGCUAGAACACUUCUCGUAUCUUUUCUAUUAUUAUAGUCAAAAUGUUGUUUACAUCUUUGUGACUAGUUUCAAGUUUCAUAUAUAAGCCUGGAUAUCUUUUACAUUACUCUCUGAAGAUAUCCACAGAAUACGCAUAUAAGAAUUGCAUUUUAAAAAAUCUUCUGGAACCUCCGAUGCAGCAUCCACGCUAAAAUUGCAGUGGAAAUAACCACAUUGCUCC